UACGUAGGGUCCGAGCGUUGUCCGGAAUUAUUGGGCGUAAAGGGCUCGUAGGCGGUUUGUCGCGUCGGGGAGUGAAAACCUACAGCUUAACUGUGGGCUUGCUUUCGAUACGGGCAGACUUGAGGCAUGCAGGGGGAGAACGGAAUUCCUGGUGUAGCGGUGAAAUGCGCAGAUAUCAGGAGGAACACCGGUGGCGAAGGCGGUUCUCUGGGCAUGUUCUGACGCUGAGGAGCGAAAGUGUGGGGAGCGAACAGG
rnacentral:rRNA from 1 species